GACGAACGCUGGCGGCGUGCCUAAUACAUGCAAGUAGAACGCAGUUGCGAACGGGUGAGUAACGCGUAGGUAACUGCCUCAUAGCGGGGGAUAACUAUUGGAAACGAUAGCUAAUACCGCAUACUGUGAGAUGGACCUGCGUUGUAUUAGCUAGUUGGUGAGUGAAAGGCUCACCAAGGCGACGAUACAGGGCCGACCUGAGAGGGUGAUCGGCCAAACUGGGAAUGGAACGCGACCCAGACUCCUUCGAGAGGCAACAGUAGGGAAACUGCGGGAAUGGACGGAAGUCUGACCGAGCAACGCCGCGGGAGUGAAGAAGGUGUUCGGAUCGUAAAGCUCUGUUGUUAGAGAAGCGGUAACUAGCCAGGAAGGGACGGCUAACUACGUGCCAGCCGCCGCGGUAAUUC
rnacentral:rRNA from 1 species